rnacentral:rRNA from 1 species
CAACUCGGCAAAUUGCCCCCGUAACUUAGGGAGAAGGGGGGCCCGUACUGGUGAACCAACUUGCUUGGGGAGCUGGUGUGGGUCGCAGAGAGCAGGGGGAAGCGACUGUUUACUAAAAACACAGGUCCAUGCGAAGUCGUAAGACGCUGUAUAUGGACUGACGCCUGCCCGGUGCUGGAACGUUAAAAGGACCGGUUAGUCCCGCAAGGGGCGAAGCUGAGAAUUGAAGCGCCAGUAAACGGCGGUGGUAACUAUAACCAUCCUAAGGUAGCGAAAUUCCUUGUCGGGUAAGUUCCGACCUGCACGAAUGGCGUAACGACUUCCCCACUGUCUCAACCACAGGCCCGGCGAAAUUGCAGUACGAGUAAAGAUGCUCGUUACGCGCGGCAGGACGGAAAGACCCCGGGACCUUCACUAUAGCUUGACAUUGAUAUUCGAUACUGCUUGUGUAGGAUAGGUGGGAGCCUAUGAAGCCGGCACGCCAGUGCUGGUGGAGGCAAUCUUGAAAUACCACUCUGGUCGUACUGGGUAUCUAACCACAGCCCCUGAUCGGGGUUUGGGACAGUGUCUGGUGGGUAGUUUAACUGGGGCGGUUGCCUCCCAAAAUGUAACGGAGGCGCCCAAAGGUUCCCUCAGCCUGGUUGGCAAUCAGGUGUUGAACGUAAGUGCAUAAGGGAGCUUGACUGUGAGACUGACAGGUCGAGCAGGGACGAAAGUCGGGACUAGUGAUCCGGCACCGGCAUGUGGAAGCGGUGUCGCUCAACGGAUAAAAGGUACCCCGGGGAUAACAGGCUGAUCUUCCCCAAGAGUCCAUAUCGACGGGAUGGUUUGGCACCUCGAUGUCGGCUCGUCGCAUCCUGGGGCUGGAGUAGGUCCCAAGGGUUGGGCUGUUCGCCCAUUAAAGCGGUACGCGAGCUGGGUUUAGAACGUCGUGAGACAGUUCGGUCCCUAUCCGCCGCGCGCGUAGGAAACCUGAGAAGGGCUGUCCCUAGUACGAGAGGACCGGGACGGACGAACCUCUAGUGUGCCAGUUGUCCCGCCAGGGGCACGGCUGGUUAGCCACGUUCGGAAGGGAUAACCGCUGAAAGCAUCUAAGCGGGAAGCCCGCUUCAAGACCAAGUUUCCCACCCACAGCAAUGUGGGGUAAGGCCCCCGCCCAGACCAGCGGGUAGAUAGGCCAGAAAUGUAAGCCCAGCAAUGGGUUCAGUUGACUGGUACUAAUCGGCCGAGGACUUCUACAU